ACGAAGGGGGCUAGCGUUGCUCGGAAUCACUGGGCGUAAAGCGCACGUAGGCGGACUUUUAAGUCGGAGGUGAAAUCCCAAGGCUCAACCUUGGAACUGCCUUCGAUACUGGGAGUCUCGAGUCCGGAAGAGGUGAGUGGAACUCCGAGUGUAGAGGUGAAAUUCGUAGAUAUUCGGAAGAACACCAGUGGCGAAGGCGGCUCACUGGUCCGGUACUGACGCUGAGGUGCGAAAGCGUGGGGAGCAAACAGG
rnacentral:rRNA from 1 species